rnacentral:rRNA from 1 species
GACGAACGUUGGCGGCGUGCUUAACACAUGCAAGUCGAACGGAAAGGCCCUGCUUGCAGGGUACUCGAGUGGCGAACGGGUGAGUAACACGUGGGUGAUCUGCCCUGCACUUCGGGAUAAGCCUGGGAAACUGGGUCUAAUACCGGAUAGGAGCCAUUUUUAGUGUGAUGGUUGGAAAGUUUUUUCGGUGUAGGAUGAGCUCGCGGCCUAUCAGCUUGUUGGUGGGGUAAUGGCCUACCAAGGCGGCGACGGGUAGCCGGCCUGAGAGGGUGGACGGCCACAUUGGGACUGAGAUACGGCCCAGACUCCUACGGGAGGCAGCAGUGGGGAAUAUUGCACAAUGGGCGCAAGCCUGAUGCAGCGACGCCGCGUGGGGGAUGACGGCCUUCGGGUUGUAAACUCCUUUCGCUAGGGACGAAGCUUUUUGUGACGGUACCUAGAGAAGAAGCACCGGCUAACUACGUG